rnacentral:rRNA from 1 species
AAAAUGUUGUCUCUCUUGAGUGGAUCCUGAGUACGACGGAGCACGUGAAAUUCCGUCGGAAUCUGGGAGGACCAUCUCCUAAGGCUAAAUACUCUCUAGUGACCGAUAGUGAACCAGUACCGUGAGGGAAAGGUGAAAAGCACCCCGGAAGGGGAGUGAAAUAGAACCUGAAACCGUGUGCUUACAAGUAGUCAGAGCCCGUUAAUGGGUGAUGGCGUGCCUUUUGUAGAAUGAACCGGCGAGUUACGAUUUGAUGCAAGGUUAAGCAGUAAAUGUGGAGCCGUAGCGAAAGCGAGUCUGAAUAGGGCGUUUAGUAUUUGGUCGUAGACCCGAAACCAGGUGAUCUACCCUUGGUCAGGUUGAAGUUCAGGUAACACUGAAUGGAGGACCGAACCGACUUACGUUGAAAAGUGAGCGGAUGAACUGAGGGUAGCGGAGAAAUUCCAAUCGAACCUGGAGAUAGCUGGUUCUCUCCGAAAUAGCUUUAGGGCUAGCCUCAAGUGAUGAUUAUUGGAGGUAGAGCACUGUUUGGACGAGGGGCCCCUCUCGGGUUACCGAAUUCAGACAAACUCCGAAUGCCAAUUAAUUUAACUUGGGAGUCAGAACAUGGGUGAUAAGGUCCGUGUUCGAAAGGGAAACAGCCCAGACCACCAGCUAAGGUCCCAAAAUAUAUGUUAAGUGGAAAAGGAUGUGGCGUUGCCCAGACAACUAGGAUGUUGGCUUAGAAGCAGCCAUCAUUUAAAGAGUGCGUAAUAGCUCACUAGUCGAGUGACACUGCGCCGAAAAUGUACCGGGGCUAAACAUGUUACCGAAGCUGUGGAUUGUCCUUUGGACAAUGGUAGGAGAGCGUUCUAAGGGCGUUGAAGCAUGAUCGUAAGGACAUGUGGAGCGCUUAGAAGUGAGAAUGCCGGUGUGAGUAGCGAAAGACGGGUGAGAAUCCCGUCCACCGAUUGACUAAGGUUUCCAGAGGAAGGCUCGUCCGCUCUGGGUUAGUCGGGUCCUAAGCUGAGGCCGACAGGCGUAGGCGAUGGAUAACAGGUUGAUAUUCCUGUACCACCUAUAAUCGUUUUAAUCGAUGGGGGGACGCAGUAGGAUAGGCGAAGCGUGCGAUUGGAUUGCACGUCUAAGCAGUAAGGCUGGGUAUUAGGCAAAUCCGGUACUCGUUAAGGCUGAGCUGUGAUGGGGAGAAGACAUUGUGUCUUCGAGUCGUUGAUUUCACACUGCCGAGAAAAGCCUCUAGAUAGAAAAUAGGUGCCCGUACCGCAAACCGACACAGGUAGUCAAGAUGAGAAUUCUAAGGUGAGCGAGCGAACUCUCGUUAAGGAACUCGGCAAAAUGACCCCGUAACUUCGGGAGAAGGGGUGCUCUUUAGGGUUAACGCCCAGAAGAGCCGCAGUGAAUAGGCCCAAGCGACUGUUUAUCAAAAACACAGGUCUCUGCUAAACCGUAAGGUGAUGUAUAGGGGCUGACGCCUGCCCGGUGCUGGAAGGUUAAGAGGAGUGGUUAGCUUCUGCGAAGCUACGAAUCGAAGCCCCAGUAAACGGCGGCCGUAACUAUAACGGUCCUAAGGUAGCGAAAUUCCUUGUCGGGUAAGUUCCGACCCGCACGAAAGGCGUAACGAUUUGGGCACUGUCUCAACGAGAGACUCGGUGAAAUCAUAGUACCUGUGAAGAUGCAGGUUACCCGCGACAGGACGGAAAGACCCCGUGGAGCUUUACUGUAGCCUGAUAUUGAAAUUCGGCACAGCUUGUACAGGAUAGGUAGGAGCCUUUGAAACGUGAGCGCUAGCUUACGUGGAGGCGCUGGUGGGAUACUACCCUAGCUGUGUUGGCUUUCUAACCCGCACCACUUAUCGUGGUGGGAGACAGUGUCAGGCGGGCAGUUUGACUGGGGCGGUCGCCUCCUAAAAGGUAACGGAGGCGCUCAAAGGUUCCCUCAGAAUGGUUGGAAAUCAUUCAUAGAGUGUAAAGGCAUAAGGGAGCUUGACUGCGAGACCUACAAGUCGAGCAGGGUCGAAAGACGGACUUAGUGAUCCGGUGGUUCCGCAUGGAAGGGCCAUCGCUCAACGGAUAAAAGCUACCCCGGGGAUAACAGGCUUAUCUCCCCCAAGAGUUCACAUCGACGGGGAGGUUUGGCACCUCGAUGUCGGCUCAUCGCAUCCUGGGGCUGUAGUCGGUCCCAAGGGUUGGGCUGUUCGCCCAUUAAAGCGGUACGCGAGCUGGGUUCAGAACGUCGUGAGACAGUUCGGUCCCUAUC